AAUUUGGCGGUAUCUUAUCCUAAUAGAGGAACUUGACCUGUGAUCGAUAAUCCCCGUCUUAUCUUACUCUUACUAAUGUUUGUAUACCGUUGUUGUUAGAUUACCUUGCAUAGUUAGUGAGUUUUCUUAAUAGUCUAGAUUGGUCGCUUCUUAGCUACUUUUUAGUACUUUUACUUCAAAUCAAGGUGCAGUUUAUGUAGGAGUUGAGUUGAGUUACUUUGAAUAAGAAUUGGAGGGUAAUAUGAAAUGUUAUUUGAAAGAGGAUUUAUUAGUAAGUGUUUAUUAAUCAGAUUGGCUGAAAGGGGGUCUGAGAUAUGUACAAAUCGCCCGUCACUCUGGUUUUAAUAUCAGAUAAGUCGUAACAAAGUAGAUGUAAGGGAACUUGCAUCUAGAUGA
rnacentral:rRNA from 1 species